AACAACGCUGGCGGCGUGCCUAACACAUGCAAGUCGUACGAGAAGUCGGCUUCGGCCGAUGAGUACAGUGGCGCACGGGUGAGUAGCGCGUGGGUAAUCUGCCCCCGGUCAGGAAUAACCCGCCGAAAGGCGGGCUAAUACCCGAUAACACUGACGCUCCGCGGAGCGUCUUUCAAAGAAGGCCUCUGUUUACAAGCUUUCGCCGGAGGAUGAGCCCGCGUACCAUUAGCUAGUUGGCAGGGUAAUGGCCUACCAAGGCUACGAUGGUUAGCUGGUCUGAGAGGAUGGCCAGCCACACUGGAACUGAGACACGGUCCAGACUCCUACGGGAGGCAGCAGUGAGGAAUCUUGCGCAAUGGGGGAAACCCUGACGCAGCAACGCCGCGUGAGUGAGGAAGGCCUUCGGGUCGUAAAGCUCUGUCAGAUGGGAAGAAAUGGAUGGGGGCUAAUAUCGCCCAUCCUUGACGGUACCAUCAGAGGAAGCACCGGCUAACUCCGUG
rnacentral:rRNA from 1 species